UGUUUAUGCAAAAUAGUAAGGAAUCAUAGAAUAGUUAGGGCUGGAAAGGACCUUAAGAUCAUCUAAUUCCACCCCACAUGCCGUGAGCAGGGACACAUCACACUGAACCAUGUUGCCCAAAGCUCUGUCCAGCCUGGUGUUGAACACUGCCAGGGAUGGAGCAUUCAUCUCUUCU